AGGCUAGUCAUUGUCAUUUUCUGAACUGUGAACGGGCAGGAAGCUGCACAACGAGAUGAGGCUGGUCAUUGUCAUUUUCUGAGCUGUGAACGGGCAAGAAGCUGCACAACGAGAUU